rnacentral:rRNA from 1 species
CCUACGGGUGGCAGCAGUGAGGAAUAUUGGUCAAUGGACGCAAGUCUGAACCAGCCAUGCCGCGUGCAGGAAGACGGCUCUAUGAGUUGUAAACUUCUUUUGUACGAGGGUAAACGCAGAUACGUGUAUCUGUCUGAAAGUAUCUUACGAAUAAGGAUCGGCUAACUCCGUGCCAGCAGCCGCGGUAAUACGGAGGAUGCAAGCGUUAUCCGGAUUUAUUGGGUUUAAAGGGUGCGUAGGCGGUCGGAUAAGUUAGAGGUGAAAUCCCCGGGCUCAACUUGGGAAUUGACGCGGAUACUGGUCGGCUAGAGUGUAGUUGCGGUAGGCGGAAUGUAUGGUGGAGCGGUGAAAUGCUUAGAGAUCAUACAGAACACCGAUUGCGAAGGCAACUUACCGCGCUACUUCUGACGUUGAGGCACGAAAGCGUGGGGAGCAAACAGGAUUAGAUACCCCAGUAGUC